GACGAACGCUGGCGGCGCGCUUAACACAUGCAAGUCGAACGGAAAGGCCUGCUUUCCCUUGUGGAUUGCGGGUACUCGAGUGGCGAACGGGUGAGUAACACGUGAGUGAUCUGCCCCCAACUUGGGUAUAAGCCUGGGAAACUGGGUCUAAUUCCCGAUAGGACUGCAGGGUGGUGCCUGUGGUGGAAAACGAUUUUCUAGUGGUUGGGGAUGAGCUCGCGGCCUAUCAGCUUGUUGGUGGGGUAAUGGCCUACCAAGGCGGCGACGGGUAGCCGGCCUGGGAGGGUGGGCGGGCACAUUGGGACUGAGAUACGGCCCAGACUCCUACGGGAGGAAGCAGAGGGGAAUAAUGCACAAUGGGCGGAAGCCUGAUGCAGCGAGGCCGCGUGGGGGAUGACGGGCUUCGGGUUGUAAACUCCUUUCGACCGCGAGGAAGCCACCUGGUUGGAAGGGUGGUGACGGUAGUGGUAGAAGAAGCACCGGCUAACUACGUG
rnacentral:rRNA from 1 species